GUUAGUGUGGCAGAGCCUGGUAAUUGCAAUAGGUCUAAACCUUAUGACUCAGAGGUUCAACCCCUCUCACUAGCU
rnacentral:tRNA from 1 species